rnacentral:lncRNA from 1 species
AUGCAGAACUGGUACUGCUAUGCGAAAACAGUGGCAGAGCAGACAGCUUGGGAAGAGGCCAAGGAGAAAGGGGUGGAUUUGGUGGUGGUGAACCCAGUUUUGGUGCUCGGACCACUUCUCCAACCAACCGUCAACGCUAGCAUCAUCCACAUCCUCAAGUACCUCAAAGGCUCUGCCAAGACUUAUGCCAAUUCUGUGCAGGCCUAUGUGCAUGUUAGGGACGUGGCUCUGGCCCACAUUCUGGUGUAUGAAACUCCAUCUGCCUCUGGAAGGUACCUUUGUGGUGGGAGUGUACUUCACCGUGGAGACGUGGUGGAAAUCCUAGCCACGUUCUUCCCAGAAUACCCAAUUCCCACCAGGUAAGUACAUCAUCAUCCUCAUCAAUUUUGUUUUCUUUAUUUCUUGUCUACAUAAGAUAUUUUCUGAGCUACAUGUUAACAACCGAGAGAGGGAUGAGGGCGGGGGACAAUGUGUUAGUGUUUUUCAGGUAUGAAUACUCAGAAUUUGCAGAAGGAAAAAAAAGGGAAAGAAGCAAUAAGAAAUUACCAAAAUCUGUCUGCUAUACGUGUAGCAGCAGAGUGUUCAUUCACUUCUCUCUUUCUUACAACCUCCCGCACAUAGUGUGAGGGAUAUAUCUGUUAUGCACAGUAGCUGGAUCUCUUACAUCGCAAGAUGAUCUCAGCCGUUCACUUGGGCAACCAAUAGGAAGCUUACACUUGUCAUAAAAGGAAAUAAAAUGGAAUACGAAUUAAACUAACUAUUAAGUCAGCUUAAGGCUUAUAAUUCAACAUAAUGAUGGUAUUGUCAUACCCGACUCUAAACCCCUUGUUGCCAUCCCUAUUUUGACAUAAGUGAAAUGGUAAAUAUGUUUGUUCAUGCAUACGUAGGCAACUCUCGAAGUGAUUGAUUUAAUGUUUGCUUAUGGUCCAUUACUUAAUGUUUUUAUAGAAUAAAAUUUUGGCUAAUCAUUGGCUUACUUAUGGAUUCUAAAUGGUGCAGGCAUAUUUUUUUUAUUUAUGGAUUUCUAUUUUCAAUAUUUUUGAAAGUACUCUUGUUUUUUUAAUGUUGUGGGAUUAAAUUAAUUAGUAUGUCAUAUAUUUACAGGUGCUCGGAUGAAGUCAAACCAAGAGUAAAACCAUACAAGUUGACAACCCAGAAGCUACAAGACUUGGGCGCGGAGUUCACUCCAGUGAAACAGUGCCUAUAUGAAACUGUCAAGAGCUUGCAGGAGAAGGGCCACCUUCCAGUGCCUAAACCACAAGAAGUUCCAUUAAAAUUCAAUCUUAAA